rnacentral:rRNA from 1 species
UACGUAGGGUGCAAGCGUUGUCCGGAAUUAUUGGGCGUAAAGAGCUCGUAGGCGGUUUGUCGCGUCGAAUGUGAAAACCCGGGGCUCAACCCCGGGCCUGCAUUCGAUACGGGCAGACUAGAGUUCGGUAGGGGAGUCUGGAAUUCCUGGUGUAGCGGUGAAAUGCGCAGAUAUCAGGAGGAACACCGAUGGCGAAGGCAGGUCUCUGGGCCACUACUGACGCUGAGAAGCGAAAGCAUGGGGAGCGAACAGG